rnacentral:rRNA from 1 species
UACGGAGGGGGCUAGCGUUGUUCGGAAUUACUGGGCGUAAAGCGCACGUAGGCGGCUUUGCAAGUUAGAGGUGAAAGCCCGGGGCUCAACUCCGGAAUUGCCUUUAAAACUGCAUCGCUAGAAUUGUGGAGAGGUAAGUGGAAUUCCGAGUGUAGAGGUGAAAUUCGUAGAUAUUCGGAAGAACACCAGUGGCGAAGGCGACUUACUGGACACAUAUUGACGCUGAGGUGCGAAAGCGUGGGGAGCAAUCAGG